rnacentral:lncRNA from 1 species
AAUAGCUCUCUGUUCAUAGUUCCCUGACUAAUCACACCACCUUCAGGUACUUCCUAAGGUGAUAAAAGGACCAGAAGGAAGGAAUUCUAGAAAAUGUCCAAUUCCUUCACGUUCCUCGAGAGCCUACAUGCCCAAGUGCUAAAAACUUUUUAGGUAGAAUGAGCUGCGCUAUUUUCAGCAGGUUGCCUCAUUUCUGAGCAAUGUACCUAAGUCCACUAGAAUGCAGAGCAGACAGAAGACUCUCUUACAGGGUUGUCAGGAGAGAGCAUCAUUUGUGCCUUUCCAUGCUUGAAGGGGUGCUUUGGACUCAAAAUGUCUGAUCUUAUUACACUAAACUGGUUUCCUUAUGGCUACAUCCAAUUUGAUAGAAAUUUCUUCAAAGGCCACAGUAAUCUCUAGGAUACUUAGUUUCCUUUUUUCUUUUUUCUUUUUUUUGCUGAUUUUUGUCUUAAUUUUAAAGAACUAUUUCUGUCAUCUCAUCAGCUAAAGGAUCUGUACUCAGAUCUGUACUGCCCAUUUCAACAUGCAGCAUUGCAUCAUGAUAUACACAUUAUUGUUUGUAUUAAAUAUUGGCUGUUUCUGGACUGAGAUCCUGAGAUGUUUAGUACAUUUGAACUGUUCUGAUUUAGUUUGGAGUUAGGCACUUACUGAAAACAAUUGGUGGAAAUAUCCACCCUCCACCCCCUUUCUUUCAGUUUUGGACUCUGACAUUCAGCCAGGAAGAUAGGUUUUGAAGGUCGUGGUCAUGAAGGGGGGGUUAAAGGAGGAAGAAAAUAUGGACCUUGAGAAAUAUAUAUAAAGUCCUGAUCAAACUAUGCCAGUUUCCAGGUUCCAUUUGAGCCCCCUGCUGUCAGGCAUAUCAAGGUAGAGAGUGGUGUGUUUGGGGGGGCGGGGGGAAUGGUAGAAGAAAUGAAAAAUCCCUGAAAAGUAUAUUGUGGUAAGAUCCCCAAAGCAUAUCAGAUUGUAAUUGUAUACAGUCACUAAUGGGAACAGGCUUGUGCUGCAAUCUGCAGUCAUGAUCACGGGUAAUCAGAUCUGGGGCCUCCCAGGACAUGGUGAUUGUUGUAGACUAGACCAAAAUACAAUGAGCUGUUUGAAUCUCUCCUAUGGGGCUGGCCAGCUUCCCAAGAUGUGUGGGGAGAGGGAGGAGUGCUGUAUGUUUCAGAAUGUUUUUCCUCUGGGGAUGGGCCUCAGGUCUCAGACCUCCUGAUAGGAGAUCAUAUGUCACUUCCAUAAAGGUUUCUCUCUUCAUGUAUGUAUUUGCUUUUCAAUCUCAGAUUGAACUGGCUCUGACUCUUGGAUUGAUUAAAUGCAGGUCCAUUAUGUUACUCCAUGGGUAUAUUUGAUUAGGUGUCCAUGUGCCUUAAGUUCAAAUGCCUGCGGUGGGUCGAGCAGGCAGCAUGAAUAUGAAAUGGGGUUUGUGGCAAGCUGGAGAAUCGAUUUCUCUUUCAAAGGGGGAUCUACUAGUCAGCUUCAGACAAUAGGGUAGGCUGGCCAAGGUGGCCAGACCUUCUGAUUUUUCAAGAAAGCCAGAAAUCGUGUUUUUGUUUUUGUUUUGUUUUGUUUGUUUUUGUUUUUUGUUUUUACUGUGCCUGCUUCAUUCAGCUCCCAAGCCUAAGCCUCCAGGUUAAAUUGAUUUUCUGAUGGGAAAAAACAAACUUAUUCAAGUCACUUCAUGUUACUGAGAACUGUGUAAAUGGCCUCUAGCUUGUGGUGUUUCAACUUAAGGAUUUUUCGACUUCAUGAUGGUCUGAAAGAUACUAAAACCACUCUGUACUUGUUUUCCUUGUUAAAGUAUUAGACUGAAAGGUUUUGUGUUCUUUUUUACAACUGCACCUUUUAUUGUGGGAAAUAAUGUGCUCAACUUGUACCCUACCUACAGUCAUGGUGAGCUUCCCGUAGCUUUUCUUUAUUAAGUUGAACUUGAUAAAUUCUAUCAGUCACCAUCAAUUAAGGAUGAAAUACAAGAAAACAUGAAUGUGUGUGAGGAGAGCAUCCCAGCACGGGAUCCAGGGUACGGUUGGCCAUGACUUUUAGAUUUUAAAAUGUCCAUGAUCUGCAAUUUCUAAAUGCUGUUUUCCAGAUGGACAUGCACAUUUUUCGUUCCACAUCUGUAAAAUAAGAAUAGGAGACUAUUUAACCCAUGCUAAAAUUAGUAAGUAUGUUUAUUUUUAAACAUCUGUUAUAGGGCAAUUUUUAUGUUCAGAGCGGGGGUGCCAAGUAUAGCGAGUAAGGCCAAUAUUUCUCCUUCAGAUCCCUUUCAGCCCUGCACUCAUUGUCAUCACUCACGUGCAUUGGGUUGUGUGGGGUUGGUCAAACAUCCAGCAUCCUCGGGGGAGGACAGGUAGGAUUAGUUGAGAGUAGGGCCUGAGAGGUGGGAGAUAGAGGAGAGGCAUCACAUCUGUCCCCUGUCUGUCCUCUUGGAAGCUGCUGGAGAUGCUGGUCAGAGGAGUGAGACCAGAAAGGGAGGAAAAGGCUUCCUGAGACUAUGAGGCAACAAGAGGUAAGAGGAGGAAACCACAAAGCCUCCUUUUGGGAGAAACUUUAGGAAUCUUCAGCACAAGCAGAACUGCCUAGAAACAAAGUGUGGCAGGGCUGAUUGGAGCCUGGGGAUUCUGUACUCACCCCUCUGUAUAGAAUCUUCUCAGCUCUGGUACCUGGUGGACAGAGGCUCUAGGAGCAUCAGCAUUCUGCAGGCUUGGCACAGAUCCUAGCUCUCUCCACAGGCUCUGCCAGCAAGGGUCUGGCUUUGUCCUCAAGAGCUCUGAUGAAAGCAGAUGCUGAUGGGAGGGAGUGUUGGAGGAGAUGGCAAGGCUGGGCAGAGAAGUACCCUGAAUGGGAAUAGUUGCUCAAGGAAAAACAAAUCAGCCAGCCUAUAAAUGAUGGUAGUGUCUUGCGCCCCCUUUCAGUUUUGUGGAAAUGAAAGUCCAUAAAGGUUAAAAACAUUUUCAAGUGUUUUUAAUCACAGAGUCAGAAUUGCAAUCUGGAGCCCUCGCUGCUCCAGUUUCCUCCAGUUUCCUUAGUGUGGUUAUUUCUAAGGAUGAAUUUCCAUGGAUUAAAAUGUUUAUGCUGGGGAGUUCCCGUUGCGGCACAGUGGUUAACGAAUCCGACUAGGAACCAUGAGGUUGCGGGUUUGAUCCCUGCCCUUGCUCAGUGGGUUAAGGACCCGGCGUUGCCGUGAGCUGUGGUGUAGAUUGCAGACGCAGCUCGGAUCCCGCGUUGCUGUGGCUCUGGCGUAGGCUGGUGGCUACAGCUCCGAUUGGACCCCUAGCCUGGGAACCUCCAUAUGCCGUGGGAGCGGCCCAAGAA